rnacentral:rRNA from 1 species
CACCAGACUCCUACGGGAGGCAGCAGUGGGGAAUAUUGCACAAUGGGGGAAACCCUGAUGCAGCGACGCCGCGUGAGCGAUGAAGUAUUUCGGUAUGUAAAGCUCUAUCAGCAGGGAAGAAGAUGACGGUACCUGACUAAGAAGCCCCGGCUAACUACGUGCCAGCAGCCGCGGUAAUACGUAGGGGGCAAGCGUUAUCCGGAUUUACUGGGUGUAAAGGGAGCGUAGACGGCGGCGCAAGCCAGAUGUGAAAGCCCGGGGCUCAACUCCGGGACUGCAUUUGGAACUGUGUGGCUGGAGUGUCGGAGAGGCAGGCGGAAUUCCUAGUGUAGCGGUGAAAUGCGUAGAUAUUAGGAGGAACACCAGUGGCGAAGGCGGCCUGCUGGACGAUGACUGACGUUGAGGCUCGAAAGCGUGGGGAGCAAACAGGAUUAGAUACCCCUGUAAG